GCGGACCGCUGACCCCCACCCCCCCAGUCGCCGAGGUGAAAGGGCAAGCAGGGCUCCGGCUAGCGGCGGCGAUGGCGGCGUCCUUGCGCCAAAUGGUGGUGGGCGCCUGGCGGCGGCCGGACCGACAGCUGCUCGCGCUGCAGUGUGCAACACGCCAUUCAAGAUGGUGCCUUAUAACUUCACAUACAUUGUAUACAGCUGAAUAUGAUCCCAAUGAAAAGACAUUUGAGAAACUCCUUAUUGCCAACAGAGGAGAGAUUGCAUGCAGGGUGAUUAAAACAUGCAAGAAGAUGGGCAUUAAAACUGUCGCUAUACAUAGCGAUGUUGAUUCCAGUGCUGUUCAUGUGAAAAUGGCGGAUGAGGCUGUCUGUGUUGGCCCAGCUCCCACCAGCAAAAGCUACCUCAACAUGGAUGCCAUCAUGGAAGCCAUUAAGAAAACCAGGGCCCAAGCUGUCCACCCAGGAUAUGGAUUUCUUUCAGAAAACAAAGAAUUUGCCAGGCGUCUGGCAUCAGAAGGUGUCACCUUUAUUGGACCUGACACACAUGCUAUUCAAGCUAUGGGAGACAAGAUUGAAAGCAAAUUAUUAGCCAAGAAUGCAAAGGUCAACACAAUCCCUGGCUUUGAUGGAGUGGUCAAGGAUGCAGAUGAAGCUGUCAGAAUUGCAAGGGAAAUUGGCUACCCUGUCAUGAUCAAGGCCUCAGCAGGUGGUGGUGGGAAAGGCAUGAGAAUCGCUUGGAGUGAUGAACAGACCAGGGAAGGCUUUAGAUUUUCAUCUCAAGAAGCUGCUUCAAGUUUUGGUGAUGAUCGACUAUUGAUAGAAAAGUUUAUUGAUAAUCCUCGCCACAUAGAAAUCCAGGUUUUGGCAGAUAAGCAUGACAAUGCUUUGUGGCUGAAUGAAAGAGAGUGCUCCAUUCAAAGAAGAAAUCAAAAGGUUGUGGAAGAGGCACCAAGCACUUUUCUGGACCCUGAGACACGAAGAGCAAUGGGAGAACAAGCAGUAGCUCUUGCCAAAGCUGUAAAAUAUUCCUCUGCUGGAACUGUAGAAUUCCUUGUGGACACCAGGAAGAAUUUCUACUUUUUGGAAAUGAACACUAGACUUCAGGUUGAACAUCCCAUCACAGAAUGCAUUACUGGCCUGGACCUAGUCCAAGAAAUGAUCCGUGUUGCUAAGGGUUACCCUCUCAGGCACAAACAAGCUGAUAUUCCCAUCAACGGCUGGGCAGUUGAAUGUCGAGUUUAUGCUGAGGAUCCCUACAAAUCUUUUGGUCUGCCAUCUAUUGGUAGAUUGUCUCAGUACCAAGAACCACUACAUGUGUCCAAUGUACGUGUUGACAGUGGCAUACAAGAAGGAAGUGAUAUUAACAUUUAUUAUGAUCCCAUGAUCUCAAAACUAAUUACAUAUGGCUCUGAUAGAGCUGAAGCAUUGCAAAGAAUGGAAGAAGCUUUGGACAAUUAUGUAAUUCGAGGUGUGACUCACAAUAUAGCUUUACUGCGAGAAGUGAUAACCCAUCCACGCUUUGUUCAGGGAGAUGUCAGCACUAAAUUUCUUCCUGAUGUGUAUCCUGAUGGCUUUAAAGGACACAAAUUGACAGAUCUCGAGAAGAGGGAACUACUGGCAAUAGCAACUUCUUUGUAUGUGGCUGAACAACUGAGAUCACAGCAAUUUCUAGGGUCUCCAAGAACAAGGAGCACGUGGUGGAGGUCCUGCGCAGGGCCAAGUUCAAGUUCCCUGGGUACCAGAAGAUCCACAUAUUUACCUUUAGGAUUUCAAAUACAUUGUUGUUUGCAAGUCAACAAAAUAGAAUGUAUGUCACAUUUGUGCAACUUCCAUUGAAUAUUUUUACUUUUGAAUUACUUACCAAAGUAUGGUAAGUUUAUUUUUCUCUAUUUUGUCAUCUCUAGAAGUGAAGUUUGCUAGAAAAAACAAUGUUUUUACGUGUAAUAGUGACAAAAGUGCAUCUAAUUGGACCCUGGCAUUAAAAUUUUCUAUGAUUGGCACUUACUUCAGUGAUUUUUGUGCUUUCAUUUCACAGCCAGUUUUUGUGUGCUGCAGAGAAGCAUCUUUUUUGAAAAUUUAGCCCAUAUCCAAAACAAAGUGAACAGUAAACAUCAAACAUAUUUAUGGUUUAUUUCUAUUUCAUACACUUGGAGUACAGAAUGGCAAAUUAUUCCAUAGUUAACCUGCAUAUUCUGUCUUGAAUACACACGGUACAUAUUUAUUUGAGUCAGGUUGCACGGGAGCUUAUAAAUUAGGGCAACCCUUUUAAUGGUUGUCACGGCUGUACCUCUGAAGUUAUAAUUACAGUAUGAAAGAGUUUUUGUUGGCUUGAGAUACUUAACCAUCUUUAGCUUAGUUGCAACAGCUCAUUGAAGAAAUAGGAAAUCUAAAUUAGAGCUAUGUUUUAUACUUAUAAAGGCCCCAAGCAUGCAUUUGAAUCUGCAUAGGUGGACUCCUGUACCCACAUAAUACUCCGUUUAAGUCAGUCAGGUGCUCUCUACCAAGUUGCAUAAUAAAAAAGUAAUAGAAUGCAGUCUGCCUGUCUCCCUAUCUGGGGAUAAUAAUACUUGCAAUUGCCAACCUCACAGGGCUGUUGUGUGUCUAUGCAGAACUUUGUAAACUUAAAUUGCUGUAUCAUGGGUAGGUUUUAAAUGGUAUCUAGAAACUACACGUGUAACAAAGGACUUCAUAGAAAAGGACGUAGAAAUUAGUGCAGCAUAUUGGAAAUAAGGCAGCCUAGUUCUAUAACCCAUCACAAACUAAGUAGAAUUUGGACUACAGUAAGCUAGUACUUGGAUGGGACACAUCCAAGAAAUAGUUAAGUAUUACAAAUGUGGUGUUGGUCAUUAAUUAGGUGUUGCUGAACCAUUACCUCAGCAUGAUAUUAGGAAAGGCUGAACUGCAGAGACUGUUCUUGAGAUGAGCUGUAAAACAGACCCUGAUUACUUGUGGACAUGAAAUUUCCUAUAGACCUUUUCAAAAGACUACGGCUUUGCUAACAUCCUGGCAAAAUUCCAUUAGGUAUGUUCUGAUUACCUAAAUUUCCUCUACAGUUUCAGCUGACUACAGUAGCCUUCUUUACUUCUUGCUCUAGGCUCUGAUUUGGAAAAACACUUAAGCACGCUUUUAAAGUUAAGCAUGUGCUGAAGUGUUUGGCUGAAUUGGAGUCCUAUGCUAUUGUGAACUGUUGCUGUUUACUUUUGAACAAAGCUACAUUCCACCCCUUCUGUGUGUAAUUGUCAGUCUCUAAAUACGAUAUAUUAUUCAGAUUAGUUUACUUUUUCCAUAUUAAAUUUGUAAAUUACUUUGAGAUCCGAUUAAGGUAAAAGGCGCCAUGUAAGUGCAAGAUAUUAUUAAACAUAACAGAACAUUAGAGAGACAAGGUGGGUGAAGUAAUAUCUUUUAUUGAAUCAGCUUCCGUUGGUGAAAGACACAAGCUUUCAAGCUUACACAGAGCUCUUCUUCUGAAGUUGGCUCAAUAAAAGAUAUUAGAUCAGACCAUGUGUCUCUCUAAUAUACGGGAACCAAUGCAGCUGCAACAACACUGCAAAGAACAGAACACUUGCAGCAUUGGCCAUUAUGGCCAAGAUCUUCCUAAAAGGCAGCCUUAAGUUUGGUUCUCAAAUCCAUAUUUGGGCUCUUAAAUAGGUAGCCUGAUGAUCAAAAGUGCUGAGCAGUGACGCAUUCCCACUGCUUUCAACAGUUUGAAGCUUGCGAGUGUUAAGGGUUUUUGAAAAUUGGCUAUUUAUUUGGGUAGCUAAAUAAGGACUUAUGAGCUUAACUUUAGGCACCUGUUUUUGAAAACUUUGGCCUACCAUUAAUUUUUAUGGGUGACUGAUUUCUAGCUGUGACACUGAAACUGUAGUUUUAAAGAAACAUGAUUGAACGUUAUUGUAACUUCCACUAAGUUAUAAAAAAAAAAACCAAAAAAACCCCCCUCACUUUGUUCACAUGUAUAACAGUAUUUAAUCUUUCUAUAUAUCACUUUGCGCUACCCUGACUGGGUAUGAGCCAAAGUCACUAUCUCAUGAAUCUUUGGCCAAGAAGUGAGAGACUUAACAGCACUGCCAUACUGACAAAAGGAUUGACAUGUUGCAACAAUGGAUGUGGUUUGAUUUUAGUUUUAAAGUGAUUAGUGGUAACUCAGAGAACAAUAUGCUAAAAUGCUGGCAAAUUUCACUAUUAAAUUAAUAGACCAAAGCACACACAGAAUGCUUCUAAUUGUUUGAAAACUUAUCAGGUAUUCAAAGUUGUCUUCCAUAAAUGUAAAGUUGAAUGCAUAUUAUAAUAUCAAGAGAUCUUAAUACAUAGUAUUUUACUAAAUCUAAAAACUGAGUUUAAACAAUAGUCAACACCGGCCCCCAACUAUCUAUUUUUAAUAUAGACCGCAAACAUGUAGUAAUUCUGAAGCACAAGAGUGAAAAAUAUAAUGCAAGCAAAAAUGAGUUUGGUAUCUUAAAAUAAGACCCAAAUAUCUGCAUGACAAAACUACUGCCAGAUUAGGCAGAGUUGGCUUUGUCUGCUCAAGCAAGAUCAGGGUUUAGGAUUAGAGCCCUGCAAACCUUUGGAAAUUCACUUUAUAUCAUGGACCAUUUUUGUGGAUCGGAUACAAAUUUUGUAUCUGUGCAGGGUUCUAAUUAGGAUAGUUUAGGUGGUACAAAUAGGACUGUAAUGCACUAAAGAUCUGUGCAGGAAAGCCUGUGGCUUAAGUCAGUGUUAGUCCUUCACUUUCAUGAGCAUUAUUACAGUUACUUUUACCAUUUUGUAUUAAACUAUUUUAAAAAAUGUUACAGAAAAAGGUAUAAAAUGCAAUGAUCUGUGUAAUGCAAUGCAAUGCAGUGUUUUCAAAAUAAAAUAUUUUAAUGUACAAUAAUACAUUUGGUAGAAAAAAUGGUUAAAAUACAAUAAUUUUGAUGGCCAGUGUAGUAAUUCUCUUCUUUUUGACUGCACUCUUAGCUGCAAUAUGUUUCUUAACAUGUCAGUACCAUUGAUUGCUAUAAGUACAGUUUAUGUGAAUAGUCCCUACUCCCACAAGUAGUCCCAUUGACUUGGAUAGAUCUACUCAUGUGAGUAAUGUUUGCAGGAAUGUGCUCAUGUGCACUUUAAAUUAUUUUUGAAAUAAAUUCCUCUUCUUUGUACUUGGCAAAACAUGAUCUCACAGUUUUGUAUGUCACCUACAAGGACACCACAAACAUAAAACGAGGAGCAGCAUCUCUUAUCCAGUGUUAGGGUUUUUAGUGUUUGAUUUUUCCCAGGAGAAGCAGAAUACUGAAUUUGGGUCCUGACAAGUAAUAAGAGAAUUUCUCUUGCUAAGCUGGAUCUGAACAACUGGGAGCUGUUGGUACAGCUAGGAGAUGGAACUUACCCUGUUACAGUUUCAAACAACGGGUCAACAUUCUCUGUGGACGUUGAUGGGAUGAAACUAAAUGUGACCAGUGAGUGGAACCUGGCUUCACCCUUAUCGUCUGUCACCAUUGAUGGCACUCAGAGGACUAUACAG